rnacentral:rRNA from 1 species
UACGAAGGGGGCUAGCGUUGUUCGGAAUCACUGGGCGUAAAGCGCACGAGGCGGAUUUGUAAGUCAGGGGUGAAAUCCCGGGGCUCAACCUCGGAACUGCCUUUGAUACUGCAAGUCUUGAGUCCGAUAGAGGUGGGUGGAAUUCCUAGUGUAGAGGUGAAAAUUCGUAGAUAUUAGGGAAAGAACUCCGGUGGCGAAGGCGGCCCACUGGAUCGGUACUGACGCUGAGGUGCGAAAGCUGGGGGAGCAAACAGGUUAGAAACCCC